AAUCAAAUUUUAACAGAUCACCAGAGUAAUGGCUAUUGAGUAAUAGGUUUGGGAGGAAAAACCCAACGGCUGCAUCUGAGUUCCAGAGUUUCAGGUAGAAAGUGAGAUACUCCCAAUGUUAGCGAAGAACUUAUCAACGAAUUUCAUGGGCUUCCCACUCCAUCCUGCUAUCCAGCUCCUCAUGCUUUCCCUCUGGGUGAGAGGAUCAGAUUAUCCACAGAGGAUAAAGCACAAAAAUAAUGAGACAGCUGUAUUGGGAGAAAAUGUGACAAUUUUCUGCAAUUUAACAACUCCAGCAGAUGUUGUUCAAAUUACCUGGCAGAAGAUUCAAGAUUCUUUGCCACAAAAUAUUGGCACAUAUAGCAGUAAAUAUGGAGAAAAGAUUCUUCCACCAUAUAUAGAUCGGCUGCACUGUGAGGCCAUUGAAUUGAAUUGUUCAUUCAUAACUAUCCGUGAAGUGACAUUUGAAGACGAAGCCUGCUACAAAUGCUUAUUUAAUAUUUUCCCACAUGGACGCUAUGGAGGACAAAUCUGCCUUAACAUUAUAACUCUAUCUGAAUUAAGAACUGAACUCCAGUCCAAUCUUGACUGUGAAGAUUUUCUUAGAUUUACUUACUCAGCUGUGGGAAAACCUGCUCCUCAAAUAUCUCUUUUCCCAUUACAAGUCUUGAUUAAUCCACCAGAGGAAUCCCUUGUUCUGAACCCCAAUGGCACAGUUACUGUCACUAAAAUGUAUAACGUCUCCUUAGAGACUGUGAGGUCCCUCAGACUCCAACACCUGAUUGUGCACAUGGAUCAUCCUCUGAAGAAUGAAAAGAAGAUCAUUCCUCUGACAGUCAAACAAGAAUGUUCUGCUCGUUCUUCUUAUACUCGGCUGCAUAUAGUUGGUGUGCUUAUAAUUUUUCUAUGUAUUUCACUUAUCAUCUGUAUUGUUCUGAGAAAGAAAAAGUAAGUUUUAUUACUACCUGUCCUGAUAGAGAAGGUCAGAGAAUGUGCUUCAAAACACGCUCCACCUGAGAUAACCUAACUGGACACCUGAAUGAGCCACACACCCGAAUGAGCACAGAGCCAAGAACUCUGGAACUUGUUAAAAUAAGAAGAAUCCUCAGCAUCAACG